rnacentral:rRNA from 1 species
CCGUUGUAUGUACCUUAUGAAUAAGCAUCGGCUAACUCCGUGCCAGCAGCCGCGGUAAUACGGAGGAUGCGAGCGUUAUCCGGAUUUAUUGGGUUUAAAGGGAGCGCAGACGGGAUGUUAAGUCAGCUGUGAAAGUUUGCGGCUCAACCGUAAAAUUGCAGUUGAUACUGGCGUUCUUGAGUGCAGUUGAGGUGUGCGGAAUUCGUGGUGUAGCGGUGAAAUGCUUAGAUAUCACGAAGAACUCCGAUUGCGAAGGCAGCUCACUAAACUGUAACUGACGUUCAUGCUCGAAAGUGUGGGUAUCAAACAGGAUUAGAUACCCUGGUAGUCCACACGGUAAACGAUGGAUACUCGCUGUUGGCGAUAUACAGUCAGCGGCCAAGCGAAAGCGUUAAGUAUCCCACCUGGGGAGUACGCCGGCAACGGUGAAACUCAAAGGAAUUGACGGGGGCCCGCACAAGCGGAGGAACAUGUGGUUUAAUUCGAUGAUACGCGAGGAACCUUACCCGGGCUUAAAUUGCAGAGGAAUGACCUGGAAAC